CCAUAGUUGUGAUUACACCGAAUUCACUUCAAUGUACCUAAUGGCUAUGUUAUUGUACUUCCUAAUGUUUCUUCAAGAAGAAAAAGCUCACGUGUAGGACGAUAUAAGCUGAUGUUAUCAAUUACUUCAUUAAUUCAAACUCUACAACAUUCAUUACCAAAUGGUAUAUGAUGCACUAAAUCACUUGGAUUUGUUGAUGUGAUUUCUUAUUUUGAAGGUUAUCUGAACCAUUCAAGCUUAUGUCUCUAGACUGUAAAAUUAUAAAAAAUUAAUUCAAACCUCAAUUGAAAUAGGAGAAAUUAGAACCGUUACAAACUCCUUCAACACUACUACAAUCCAUGUUUAAAGCAAGUCAUUCAUACAUUUUAUAGGUCACUUUUGGAAACUAAACAAUUGUACAUAAAGAACCAGUGCAGAUAAUUACUUGGCUAGGUAUAUUAAAAUUUGGGGAUUGCUUGAGUAAAAGAAUGCAUAAUGCUCUAACUUUCCAUAAGCACAAAAUCACAAACUCAGCAUAACUAAUUGGGAAGAGGAGUCUGUAAAAACAAAACUAAUAACAUAUAGUCUGCACUAACCUUAUCACUCCGUUUAUGGGUUGACUGCGAUGGCAACGGCGGGAUGCGGAUGACAACCAUGGGAGGCUAAAGGUGGCGGUGGUGUUCGCAAAAUCUAGCUUUGACUGAACGAUCCCAGGCUCGCAACAAGGGCUAAAUUGAGAGGAGGAGGGAGUAGGGAUGACAGGCUGAAUCGUGUAACUUGGAAGUAUUAUAGGUCCAAUCGCCGAUUGCAAGACUCGAGGGAUUCCAAAUUUGAAGGCCGAUGGUUCCUCGCAAGUGGUUUAGUUUAAUUGUAAUGGGAUU
rnacentral:lncRNA from 1 species